CCAGUAUCACCCAGAGAAGAAUGGCUUCCCUUUUGAGCCUGACUCCACUCAAGGUUUCUUAAGAGCCGUCUCAGUGAGCUUCUUGAGCCCGAGGACAUUCUCUUCCCAGCAGGCACCUAUUUGAUCUCAGCUAUUAAAGGCAAGAUGACAGAGAUUCUACAAGGCCAACAAUAAGAGACAGUUACAGGCACAGGGGUUGCUGCGGAAUAAUAGCUGUAGCUUUGUGCAUCUCUCUCUCUCUCUCUCUCUCUCUCUCUCUCUCCCCCUAUCUCUCUGUCUGUGUUUCAUUUUUUUAGGAGCAGGCAUGCACUUGAAGUAUGAAGAUCACACACCAGCUGGGUGCAUACUGUCAACUACUGUAUUAAAGUGUGAAGCCAAACAAGUGUACUCAGCUAGGGAAGGAGACGUGAAUGUGAAAGCUGACCACUGGGUGAGUGAGGAAGUGGCAAUCGUAGUCAGGCCUGGUACAAACCAGUAGUCUAUCUUAGUUAUUUGCCAGAUAGACUGGUCUGAGUAUUUUACGGAAAAAAAGAACUAGUAAGCAGCAGUUCUCCUCUCCAUUGACAAAGGGUUCAGAGGACAGCCUGACCAGAAUGUUUAAAGCGUACAGGAAGUUCAGAGUAUUACAGGUAUUUUUGCUACAUCAACAAAAAAUUCAAAAGGUUCUAAUGAGAAGAACGGAAUGAUGGAAUUUAAAUAAAUUAUAACAAUU